rnacentral:lncRNA from 1 species
CUCGCCUGUUUUUUGAUGCAGGAAACUCGAUUUUUAAGUUAACUACAACCUGUGGCUUUUUCUGUUGAAGAAGCUAGUAAGAAAGCUAGGAGGAACAAUUUAAAAAAAUCUCCAGUCGUAAAAAAAUUAAAACUAAAUGAA